rnacentral:rRNA from 2 species
UGGGGAAUAUUGCACAAUGGGCGCAAGCCUGAUGCAGCCAUGCCGCGUGUAUGAAGAAGGCCUUCGGGUUGUAAAGUACUUUCAGCGGGGAGGAAGGGAGUAAAGUUAAUACCUUUGCUCAUUGACGUUACCCGCAGAAGAAGCACCGGCUAACUCCGUGCCAGCAGCCGCGGUAAUACGGAGGGUGCAAGCGUUAAUCGGAAUUACUGGGCGUAAAGCGCACGCUGGCGGUUUGUUAAGUCAGAUGUGAAAUCCCCGGGCUCAACCUGGGAACUGCAUCUGAUACUGGCAAGCUUGAGUCUCGUAGAGGGGGGUAGAAUUCCAGGUGUAGCGGUGAAAUGCGUAGAGAUCUGGAGGAAUACCGGUGGCGAAGGCGGCCCCCUGGACGAAGACUGACGCUCAGGUGCGAAAGCGUGGGGAGCAAACAGG